rnacentral:rRNA from 1 species
UACGUAGGAGGCAAGCGUUGUCCGGAGUUACUGGGCGUAAAGCGCAUGUAGGCGGUUGGGCAAGUUGAGUGUGAAAGCUCCCGGCUAAACUGGGAGAGGACAUUUAAGACUGCCCGGCUAGAGGUCGGUAGAGGGGCGCAGAAUUCGGGGUGUAGCGGUGAAAUGUGUAGAGAUCCCGAGGAAUACCAGUGGUGAAGACGGCGCCCUGGGCCGAACCUGACGCUGAGAUGCGAAAGCGUGGGGAGCGAACGGG